AAAAAUUCAGCACCCAAUAUGAUAAGCUUUCAACUUUUAUUAAGGAUAGUGGUGCUGCAUUUUUUAAUGGGACUUGCAAUGGCUCAACAAAAACAACUGAUAAAAUACUUGUUCAGGGACUAUCAUAAAGAAUUAAGGCCAGUAAAAGACGAGUCAAGUGGUCCAACAAAUGUCACAGUCCAAUUAUAUUUCAAGCAAAUUCAAAAAGUUCACGAAAAUGAUCAAAUAAUCACCCUUUACUGCUGGAUCGAAGAAUAUUGGCAGGAUGAGUUUUUGACAUGGAAUCCAUCAGAUUUCGGGAACAUUAAGUCACUUCAUGUUCCGUCGGAGAUGAUUUGGAAGCCAGAUUUGCUAGUCUAUAAUAACGCCAACAUGAAUAUCAAGGAGAACGAAAUGCAGACUAACGUUCAAAUCGAGCAUACGGGAAAGAUUUCACUUUUUCGAGCAAUAAUCACAGAUAUCACUUGCGACUUACAAAUGGAAAAAUUUCCAUAUGAUCAGCAAAUUUGUUUCAUAAUGUUGGCGUCCUGGUCCUACGAUGGGUCUCAGAUUAUGCUGAACACAGCCGAGCAGCCGACGGAGGCGCCGCUGGAUAUUAAGAAUACAACAAACCUUGCAAUUCUCAACCACUACAUCCCAAAUAUGGAGUGGAAAUUGGUCGAUUUCCGAUAUCGCAACAAUCUCAAGUACUACGAUUGUUGCCCAAACCCGUACCCUGACAUUUCAUACUUUUUCGCGAUUAAACGAAAUCCGAGCUAUUACCUGUUCACGCUGAUCAUACCGUCGGCAUUCAUCACCAUAGUCACAGUGAUCGGAUUUUUCACCCCGCACUCAUCGACCGGAGAGAAUACGGAAAAAGUCAGUCUAGGAGUCACUGCACUGCUCUCACUGGCUAUUAUUUUAAUGAUGGUGUCCGACAAACUACCGGCAACAUCAAAUUCGGUGCCUCUUCUCGGGCAAUAUUACAUUGGACUGAUCUUCAUCAUGUUCUUGGCCACAUAUUGCACCACAUUCACAUUAGGAAUACAGAUGCAGGGAAAUGCGGGUCGCCCGAUAACCCGUCGCCUCCGAUCCUUCCUCCUCUCAAUUCGAAUGAAUCGGAACUCGUUUGUCCAGUGGUUUUUCGGGCGGGAGCUCAUGAAUACCCAGGAGAGCAUCAAGAUGAGACUGAAAAAAUAUGACAAAUUGUCGGAGCUGAAGAAAAAGUUUGCCAAUGGAUUUGUGCAGUUUCAGCAAAAAUUGCUGAAAACCGACGAGCCUAAGCACAACAAGACCGCUUCGCUCAUCGAGCAAGAGUCUAUAGAUAGCUCGAAGCUUCUGGAUCCGGCAAUGUACAAUGUGGUGGUGGAUGUGUUGAGUUCUGUGCAAUCGAUUCGGCAGGAUUUGACGUCACAGGAGCAUUUGAAGAGGAUAAGAAAGGAAUGGCAGAUGCUUGCAAGGUAAUCGCUACGAGACCCAACGCUACGAGACCCUGCGCUACAAAGCCUAUCGCGGUAGAUCAGAAGACCUUUUCUGAAUAUUUAAUCAAUUUUAUUGGGGGGGGGGGGGGGGGAGCAAAAUAAUUUUUUGCACAUGAUCAUCUGAAAAAUGCAAUGACCAAAAAAUUGGUGGCAAAAAUUUAAUUGCAGGGGCUUUUUCAUUUUUUCCUUUUGUGCGUUCCAACGAAUUCUGGCAGGAAAAUUAGAAACUACAAACUACAAACUACAAUAAACUAGUUUUUUUUUCCAAAUUUUCCUGUGUUUUCGAAAAUUACUGUUACGAGUUAAAAACAUCUAAAAAUUAAGAAUUUCGUAUUUCCAUUUUCAGAAAAAUCUUGAAAAAUAGAAAAAAAAAACAUUGCCGAUACUUGCUACAAACUAUAAACUACAAACUACAAACUACAAACUACAAUAAACUAGUUUUUCCCAACUUUCCUGAUUUUUCGAAAAUCACUGAUUUAAAAAAGUUUCAAAAUGAAAUUGGUGAGACCGAUCGUGGUGAGACCCAUCGUGAUGAGACCCAUCGUGGUGAGACCCUUCGUCUCGAGUCCUUUCCCUAAAACACAUGGUGUCAAAAUGUCCCAUUUUGAUUUGAUCUUCGAGAAAUGCGGGAGAUGAGACGCAGACUUUUCAACUGAUUUCGCAUGGUUAAGAGUGUGCUGACGUCACGUUUUUCUGAAUGCUCGAAAAAAUCAUAAUGUGGAUAUUCAUCAUUUCCACAGUCGCAUUUGCGUCCUUCAUGCUCUACGACACCCAGGAUCCGCCGAUUAUCACAAAUGAAGUUAUGCGUUCAAAAUCCACGUGAUAAGUGAAUCUCGACAUAUUCAUUAAUGUACAUAAAUAAAGUAUUGAUUC
rnacentral:misc_RNA from 1 species